GUAGCGAGUUCACGAAAACAUAGUGCUCAGUACUUCGACGAAGAAAUUGGUUUCGUGAUCGUAGACAACAACUCUACCUUGUGUGUUUUGGCCGGUGUCCCCUCAUCGCCCCCUGCUUGGCUAGUCCGGCAUGAUCGAGUCUCGCAGCUGCUGCGUGCCAACACAUGCCAAGAAUGCUUUCGAUGUUAUGCAAGACCUGCGGCGGCAGCAGCAACUCUGCGACGUCAUCCUGUGCGUGGAUGGCGCCAAGUUCCAUGCCCACAAAGUGGUCCUAGCGGGCUGCAGCCCGUACCUGCGGGCCAUGUUCACCAACGGGAUGUUGGAGACAGACAGGGACUGUGUACAAAUACAUGGCGUGGAGCCGACCACCAUGGAGAUGCUGCUGGACUUCAUGUACACAAGUAACAUUGAGAUUAAUGUGGAGAAUGUACAGAGUAUUCUUCAGGGUGCCAGUCUGUUGGGACUACACUCUCUAAGGACAAUCUGCUCACAUUUUCUACAGACCCAGUUGGUGGCAUCAAACUGCUUGGGUAUCCAGCACUUUGCAGACAUGUACACAUGUACAGAGCUGGAAGCAAUUGCAAGACAGUUCAUCUAUCAGAACUUUCUCGAAGUCGUGCGAACAGAUGAGUUUUUCGAUCUCGCUGAAGAGAGGCUUCUCCAGUUGUUGAAAAGUGAUAAACUUCAGGUGAUGGCCGAGAGCCAGGUGUUCGAGGCAGCAUCAGCGUGGCUGCAGUGGGACCCCGUGUGUCGUCUUGACAAAGCCUGCACCGUUCUCCAACACAUCCGAUUAGCUUUGCUAGAGCUGCCAUACUUGGAAAAUGUUGUGUUAAAAUCCGAGUUUUUUCGUACGUGUCCAAAGUGCCAGUUGUUCAUCAGCAAAGCAAUUCGAACAAAACAGGACAUGACGGCCAUGCAACUUGUGACCCCCCGAGCCCAGCCCCCGUGUAUAUAUGUGGUGGGGGGCAGGAACAGCUCGGACUGUCAGCUGAAGAGUGUGGAGAGAUAUGACUUUCUGACUGAUCAGUGGAUGUCCAUGCCCAGUAUGAACAUUGCCCGGACAGCGGUAGGGGCCACCAGCCUGGAUGGGAUGCUGUUUGCAGUGGGUGGUGAGUGUGCGCUGGUCGACACUCAAGAGGACACUCUCUACCUCCGCUGUGUGGAGUGUUACGACCCAGUGAUGAAACAGUGGAUACCAAAGACGGAGAUGAAGGUUGCAAGGUCAUUUGUGGCAGUGGCUGCUGUGGCAGGGGUCUUGUAUGCUAUAGGGGGUGAGGAUCGAUCGUGCAGCUACAGCAUCAUGGAGAGGUACGAUCCCAAGACAGAGAUGUGGUGUUUUGCUCCCAGCAUGAAGAGGAAGCGGGCAGGCUCAGGGGUUUCUGUGUGUGAUGGCAAGAUAUAUGUAGCUGGUGGCUAUGACAAGACAUUGCAUAUGGACAGGGCCAGCGUGGAGUGUUUUGACCCAGAUACACAGGAGUGGACGUUCGCGGCGGAGAUGGAGAAGGCCCGGUCGGGGCUGUCACUGGUCACUGUUGACCACUUCAUAUAUGCAUUCGGGGGACGCUUCAGACACACUGACCAGUACUUCGAUCUCGUCGAGAGAUUCAACACUCUCACCCGCCAGUGGACAACCAUCACCCCAAUGAACACACCCCGAGCUUGGCCGGGCAUUUCAGUGUUUGAUGGAAAGAUAUAUGUCGUCGGUGGCUUCGACGGCCAGAGUCGUCUACGGAGUGCGGAAUCGUAUGACCCAGAUGCUGAUCAGUGGUCGUUGCUUAGCAACAUGCUUGUCAGUCGAGCAGGUUGUGGUGCAGGUGUUGUGUGAGAUUUCUUCAGCGUGAACAGUCCUUGAAUGUUAUUUAUAUUUAGUUUGUCAGUCAAAUAGUAUAGGGUGGAGAGGAUUUAUUUCAUUUUUUGUCAAAGCCCAUAGGCGAAUCUAGACGUGUUCUUUCUCCGAUUUCUAGUUGACUUCCUUCGGACCUGGAGUUUACAACACCCAUGAUCUUACCAUGCUUACAUAGCAUUCUGACAGUUAUUUCUUUCAGUGUUUAGUUUCUGGGUGAAACAUUACAUUAUGCAUGAUAUACAUCUAUGUCAGAAACAAAUGCAAGAGGAGCUCUUGAGUCCACUGUUCUUCCUGUGGGCAGUGUGCCCUGCUUGAGAUCUCAUGGUUCAUAUUAAUGACAUUAGCAUAUUUACAUAAUCAUUUAGAAGAAUGAUUACAGCAUGGACAUAAACUGAAGAUGCAUUGUGUGAACAAUCUCAUUAAAUCAGAUCUUUUGCUCUGAUUCAAAACCUCAACGUUAAGAUUGACAGCCUCUAAAAAGGAAUGUCUGAAGUUAACUUUCUAAUCAGCCAGUCAGCUUUGAUGCUUUAAAGUUCUUGGUAAUAACCUUUCAGACAAAGCAUAUCAAAAUUUGGUAUCUAAAAUACCCACUUUAACCUGUAGUUCACAAUUUUGAAAAUAACAGUGCCAACCGGUAGUGCAUUGAAGUAAUGGUAGUGGUCUGUGUGGGUCUCCUUUUGUGCAACAUUUCUGAAUUGAGGUAGCCAGAAAGUCAUUCCAGAAAGCUGACAUCUGAUUGGUCAUGAAGCCUUCAUUGAGGUCGGAGUCAUAUAAUUCUAGAAAGCUGACAUCUGAUUGGUCAUGAAGCCUUCAUUGAGGUCAGAGUUCACUCUGAGUGAGUGUUGACUCUGUAAGGAGGUGUUGUCUGAUCUUCAUGCAAAGAGGUAACAUAUUGGAAAACAGGACCUGAUUUGAAUGAGAUGAAGUACAAUGUAUUAGGACAUUUUUCAUGAGAGGUUUUUCAUUUUGUUGUCUUUGUGCAUAUUUCUCUACCACAUUUUAUACCUACAUAGCUUACAGUGCAGAAAUUGAAGAAGCCAUUCAUCUUCAAUUGUAACUUUAUGCCAAAGAAGCAGUUUUAUAUGCCAAAA
rnacentral:misc_RNA from 1 species